UGGAUCACCUCCUAACAGGGAGACAACAAAAUGUUUAAUAUUAUUUUGUCACCUUAGGUCGAUCGGUAUCUCACGUUCUUAAUUUGUUAAGAAUUUCAUUUCCUAAGUUUUUCUAGGUCACACCCAUUAUUUUUCCUGGGCCAUUAGCUCAGGUGGUUAGAGCGCACCCCUGAUAAGGGUGAGGUCCCUGGUUCAAGUUCAGGAUGGCCCAUAUCUCUAUGUUGGGGGUAUAGCUCAGUUGGUAGAGCGCCUGCUUUGCAAGCAGGAUGUCAGCGGUUCGAGUCCGCUUACCUCCACUGAUUACCACCUCUUCCAUAACCGGUAGAAAGGAAAUGUUUUGAGAUGUGAUCAUUAUUCUGAACGAAUCUAGCUUCCUAAUGAAAUCAUUAAGAUGCUGGACUCAUUGAAUUAAUUUCAUUGUUUUCAGAGAACCUUGACAACUGCAUAGAUUUUUUUAAAGACAAUAAGCAUCUUAAUGAUGCAGAUUUAUUAUUUGUGCGAAUGCAUUAAUAACAAUUCUAUUAAGCUGAUGCUUCAAUUUUUGAAGUUAUUGGUCAAGCUACAAAGGGCUCACGGAGGAUACCUAGGCACACAGAGGCGAUGAAGG
rnacentral:tRNA from 1 species